UGGGUAGUCCGUACGAGCGCACCCUAUCCUUAGUUGCCAGCGAGUUGUCGGGAACUCUAGGGAGACUGCCGGUGACAAACCGGAGGAAGGUGGGGAUGACGUCAAGUCAUCAUGGCCCUUAUGGGCAGGGCUACACACGUGCUACAAUGGCCGGUACAGAGGGCUGCGAAGCCGCGAGGCGGAGCGAAUCUCAGAAAACCGGUCGUAGUCCGGAUUGCAGUCUGCAACUCGACUGCAUGAAGUCGGAAUCGCUAGUAAUCGCGGAUCAGAACGCCGCGGUGAAUACGUUCCCGGGCCUUGUACACACCGCCCGUCACACCAUGGGAGUGGGCUGUACCAGAAGUAGGUAGUCUAACCUUCGGGAGGACGCUUACCACGGUGUGGUUCAUGACUGGGGUGAAGUCGUAACAAGGUAGCCCUAGGGGAACCUGGGGCUGGAUCACCUCCUUU
rnacentral:rRNA from 1 species